rnacentral:lncRNA from 1 species
UUAUUUUACAGAUUUUAGAGACCCUAAAAAGAGAAAUUUGGAAAAUAAAAGCUGCAGAGUUUACUGUUAUAUAGAGAUCUGAAGGCAUAAAAAUAAAAAAGGGGUCCAAAAUCACUGUUACGCUGAAUGUUCUAGGUUUAGGUUUUAGGGAUUCUUGAGGUUAUUUUCGAGUUGAACUCAGUCUAAUCAAGCUGGUUUUUUAAGUUGUUUUUCUGGUGCUAUUUGGUUGAAAUCACUCCCUGGUUUAUUUGAUAUCACUGCCUGGUCCUUAAAUUAGUUUUGUUGCUGCUGUUGGUUACUGCUGAAUCUUACCUCUUCUAUUCUAUUUCCAAAUAUAUUUUUUAACUAUUAUUAGUCAAUGUUGUGUUACAAGUUUGAACUUAUUUGAACCCAAGUGAAGAUCCAAUUACACGAGUGUGAAUUCAAGUGGAUGUGUUAGCCGUAGCUGUAACAUGAUAGAUUCUAUUAUGUUAAAUUUUGGUUUAAUCCAUAGUGAUUUAGCUUUCCUGAAUUGGUUUAUUUGCUCAUGUUCUAUGGUUCAAAUGUGCUGAUCCAUUAGAAUAGAUGUUUGGAUGCUAGGUACUGUGAUAUUAAAUGAAAAUUUCGAAUGUAAAUGGACUGUUAAGCAUGUGAUGAGGACUGAUCACCUGAAUAUCAUAGCUUGGUUGUUUUUCUAUAGUUUGGAGUUAGGAUUUGGGUAUGAAGAAGAUUUGGUAUCGAUGUCUGGAAUAGGAUGAUCUGAAUAUGGAAUUUUGAAAUGAUGAUUUGAUUAAUUCAUGC